AUGAACGCUGGCGGCGUGCCUCAUACAUGCCAGUCGAGCGAACAGAUAAGGAGCUUGCUCCUUUGACGUUAGCGGCGGACGGGUGAGUAACACGUGGGUAACCUACCUAUAAGACUGGAAUAACUCCGGGAAACCGGGGCUAAUGCCGGAUAACAUUUAGAACCGCAUGGUUCUAAAGUGAAAGAUGGUUUUGCUAUCACUUAUAGAUGGACCCGCGCCGUAUUAGCUAGCUGGUAAGGUAACGGCUUACCAAGGCAACGAUACGUAGCCGACCUGAGAGGGUGAUCGGCCACACUGGAACUGAGACACGGUCCAGACUCCUACGGGAGGCAGCAGUAGGGAAUCUUCCGCAAUGGGCGAAAGCCUGACGGAGCAACGCCGCGUGAGUGAUGAAGGUCUUCGGAUCGUAAAACUCUGUUAUUAGGGAAGAACAAAUGUGUAAGUAACUGUGCACGUCUUGACGGUACCUAAUCAGAAAGCCACGGCUAACUACGUG
rnacentral:rRNA from 1 species